rnacentral:rRNA from 1 species
ACAAUGCGGGACUAUACGUCUUGCAAUUGGAUUGAGAACAAUGUACAACUCUUAUCGAUAAGCCAUUGGAGGGCAAGUCUGGUGCCAGCAGCCGCGGUAAUUCCAGCUCCAAUAGCGUAUAUUAACGUUGUUGCAGUUAAAAAGCUCGUAGUUGAAGUGUGGGUGAUCGCUAUUGUGAGACUUCGGUCUCUCGACAGUAAGUCACCCCCUUCCAGUAUCCAGUAGUGGGUAUUCAGUUACUUACUAUUGUGUGUUGGUCCUUUACUGUGAGAAAAUUAGAGUGUUCAAAGCAGGCGUUUGCUUGAAUAGAUUAGCAUGGAAUAAUAAUUGAAGGCUUUCGUGUUCGAUUUGAUUGGUUUGUUCAUGGAAGCAAGGUUAAAAGGAACAGUUGGGGGUAUUCAUAUUCACUAGUUAGAGGUGAAAUUCUCGGAUUUAUGGAAGAUGAACAA